rnacentral:lncRNA from 1 species
CUCUCCUAAGAUUUUUAGAAUUUUGAGAAGAAUGAUGAUGAAUUUAAAUGAUUCUCGUAAUGAAUUUUUGAUCUGUGAUCGUCGGACGAUACACCGACAUCCACUUUGAUCAGAUCAGGUAUUUUUAGAUUUUAUUUCUCAUGAUCUUAUUUAAUUAUCCACAUGAUAAUUUUAGCAUGAUUUGAUCUGAUCGAUCAGAAUUUGUUGAAUUAUAUUGUCUGAAGAAUUCAAGAUGAGUUUUCUCUCUCUAGAAUUUUCUCUCUAUAGAAUUUUCUCUCUCUUGAUUGAUUCUCUCUCUAAAAAAAGGUUAGUGAAUGAAAAAAUUUCUUUUAAUAAGUCUGAUCUGAUUCUAAUGAAGAAUCCUGAUCCAUGAUUGUCAGACAGCGUACUGGCACCCACCUUGAUUAGACCAUGAAUCUUUAGAUUUGAUCAUCCAUGAUCCCGAUCUAGUCAUGACUUGAUUUGAUUAUGUUGAUUUCACCAAUCAAGAUAUUGGAUCAAUCGUAAUGUUGGAUUGUGUCACCUGAUCAAUUCGAAUUAUACCUCAUGAAUUCUCUCUCCUCUGAUUGUCUCUCUCUACUUGAUUUUAUGAAAUCGAUGA